rnacentral:rRNA from 1 species
GACGUAGGGCGCGAGCGUUGUCCGGAUUUAUUGGGCGUAAAGAGCUCGUAGGCGGCUUGUCGCGUCGAAUGUGAAAUCCUGCGGCUCAACUGCAGGCUUGCAUUCGAUACGGGCAGGCUCGAGUUCGGUAGGGGAGACUGGAAUUCCUGGUGUAGCGGUGAAAUGCGCAGAUAUCAGGAGGAACACCGGUGGCGAAGGCGGGGUCUC